UGGCACUCUGGAGGCCUGAGGUGGCGGGCCACCGCGCCAAACGACCCCGAGUCCUCACGACAGUCGCGGGCAGUCGCGCGUUAAGGUCAUCAAACCGGAAAUUUCUUUUAUGAAAUUACCCAAAAGGAGUUAUCAACACAAUUUAGUGGAUUGCAACCCACAUUAAAAAAAAAUAAGAGACCAGGAAAAUAGCUCAGCAAUUAAGAGUACUUGCUGCUUUUGCGGAGGACCCAGGAUCGAUUCACAGCCCUGAUAUGGCAUUCGCACCCAUCAUUAAUUCCAGUUCCAAGAGAUCCGAAGCCAGACGCCCUCUUCUGGCGUCUCAGACACCCACGUGAUGCACAGAUCCCACGCAGCAAGACAACCAUCACAAAGCGUUUAAAAAUGGGAAUAGGAAAAGACUCCAGUUGUAAAUAGUAUUACUUUGUGACAGCUUUGUUUCAGUUGUUUCUACUUACAUAUGUAACAUUCUGGAUUAUAAUGAAACAGCAAUUUACAUGCUGCGUACUCUGUAAGCAGCACCUACUGCAAAGCACACCUCUAAAAUCAACACAGCUGUGCAAGCUUCAAUGUUUCUUCACAUGAUUGAGUAACCUGGCUGAAAGUGGUAGACGUGGGACUCAGAACAAGAUGUUUGAUCCAAAAUGCUAGGGGCUUUCCGGUCACUGUUGGGGGUGCCUAGGAGAGUGCAAGCCGCCGGGAUUCUUUGGCUUGUGUGGUGUAGCCCCAGGACCAGCAGAGCCUCCUCUUUCAAGUCGUCUUACUCUAGGUGGGAUCCUUAUUCUCAAGACUGGCUGCUUUGGGAUACUUACCCUGUUGAGUCAGGUCCUGCCAUUCUUUUGAGGUGUCUUAGUAAGAGAACAGGAGUGAGUGCUAAGCCAGAUGUGGUCAGGCUUGUCUGUAACCCCAGCACGUGGGAGGAGUACGCAGGAGCAAGAUUUCAAAGUCAGCCCUAAACUAGUUCUACGCCAACUUUGGUUACAUGAGACCCUGUCUCAAAAAACCAAACAAAAACAAUAAAAGCAAACAAAACACCUUCCUGGCACUUGGGAGGUAGGGGCAGGAGUUCAGAAGUUUGGGGUUACCCUCAAUCACAUGCAGUCUAGGGAUAGCCUGAAACACGAGGCUCUUUUUUUUUUCCUUUUUUCUUUUUUUUUUUUUUAUGUGCAAGCUCAGGCUGAUUUACACAUGGUUUCUCAACCAAAACAAACAUUCGCUUUGAGUAUGUUGGACCAGAGAUGGUCUUUCUAUGUUCAAAGUAGUGAGAGAUGGCUGAAAGUGAGACCUUUCUACCCUAGGAGAGGAAAAAUGAUGGAUUUGGUCUCAGUAGAUCUGACAGCUGAAAAUCCAAAGGAAAAACUUAAAUAGGAGGCAGUCUGAAUCAGUCCUGGGGACUGCAAAUCCAUUCCUGGAUAAAUGGUUACCAACCUCUAUUGUCAGGGGUGAGUUGCAGGGCGGCUAGAUCCAUUGGAAGGUCCAGGUCACACAGGUGUGCCUGGUGCUACAAACUCAUUGUUAUUCAUGGAGGGGUUUUAUGCUCUAUUUGACAUUCUUGUUCAACCCCUUAACUUC